rnacentral:snoRNA from 1 species
AAAGCUAGGGAAUUUCCUAAACAAAUUCUUGAACCUCUACCAUGCCUCAGGAUAGCUCUCGAUGUCUUUCUGCUUAAAAAUAUGGACUUUUUUCCAGAUUUU